AAGGCUUGUAAAUAAUAUAGAUAGACACAUUUCAGCUAUAACGUCUGAAUAAAAAAUCUCAAAUAUUGUGUUGUGAAGAAAAGUUUAACAAUGAGUUCCAAACAAGAACUAACAAUUUUAAAAGGUAAAAGAGAUCAAUAUAGACGCUCUUUGGCUAGAAUAAACGAGUUUGUUUGUCAACAAAAUGAUGGUGAUAUCACAGAUAUAGUGAGCCAACAACUUAUUGUAAGACGAGAAAAAUCUGAUGAUCUCUUAAUUAAGUAUUCAGAUAUUGAUGCGGAAAUUAAAACAUUCGAUAAGAAAGAUCAAGACCAAAUUGAGUCUUUUGAGGAGUUGUACUAUAAUGUACAAUCUAAAAUUAAUGUUUUAAUUUCCAAAUCGAAUUUAGGUCAGGCUAAGACACCAGGUGUAGAUUGUGACAAGAGCAGAAAUUCAGAUUGGAGUCAGGGUAUGCCUUCGACAAGGUUGCCUUACGUUAAUAUUCCUGCGUUUAAUGGUGUAAACUUAGAUGAUUAUAAACCAUUUCAAAAUCUAUUUUUAGCUAUAAUUCACAAAAACAAAUGUUUAUCUGAGGUAGAGAAGCUGUUUUAUUUGAGAUCGUAUCUAAAAGGUGAAGCUUUGGCUUUAAUAAGCAAUUUAGAGCUAACUGAUGAGUCAUACAAAGAGGCUUUAAAAUUGUUGGAUGAAAGAUACAACAAUGAAGCAUUAUUGGUGCUUGGGGUAAGAGGGAACCAGCAUGGGUAAAUUUAAAAGGACUUUGGGGAAAGAGAAGUGAGGAUAACAGCUACAUCAAUUAAAAUUUAAUUCCAGUAUACAUUUUAAUUAAAGGUCCUUGUCACCUUUGAUAAUCAAAAGUCUGUACGGGAAACCCACUCUAGCAUUAAGGAAUACAAACUUAUUGUUUUCAAUGUGUAUAUAAGUAUCGUUUACAAAUUAGAAAAUAAUACAAACUGACAAAAUUCUUAAUGUUUUAAAUCAAUCUAAAAUCAUAGUUUAGAUCAAAAAUUUGCGGUUUAAGUAUCGUUAAAUUGGGCACAUUUUUCAUUAUUGCAAAUGGCAUUUGUUGAAAAUUGCACUUAUUCUUGAAUUUCUAAAAAAUUACUAAACUACAAACAAUACUUCUAAAUUAUUUUAUUGUCUUAUCUCAGUUAAGGAAUAAAUACUUAAGUUUAUACUUCAAAAGCUGACCAUAAAAUAUUCUUCAUUUAUACGAAUCAACCGAUUACCUUAUCCACUUAUAUUUCACUUAUUUAGAUUUCUAUUUCGUCUACUCUAUUAUGCUUACGCAUGUUAUUCUGUAGUAAGCAAGUUCAAGCUAUGGCAAUUUCCUAAAUUGAUGUAUGAUUUGAAAUGAAUAUUAUUGUCACUGGUUUUUGCAUUAACUUAACAAAGGAUGAUUCGUGACAAGAAGAAAGCUUUAAACCAAUAUUGUUUACACAUCCUGCUAAAGACUUUCAUUUUCAUACUAUUGUCUUUUUCUUUGUCUCUUCUUCUUCUUUUUCUUCAUCCUAAUGAGUUCAGGACGAAUACCUCGUAAUGAUUUCUCCACCCUUCUGUGUAUUGUGUUUUUGAUGCUUUUAUGAGUUUAUACUCACUUCUGCUUUGAUGUUCUUUAGCCACCGUUUUUUGUCUUCUCCUCUACUACGAUAGUCUUCAGUCCAGAAGGUUUUUUGUUCCUCUCAUUGUCCUUUAGUGCCCAUGUUCUAUCCAACUACAUUUCAUUUAGGCAAAUCUUAUCUCAGAGAAAGUUCGAUAGCCAUCUAUGGUGUUCUUGAUCUAUUGGCUGAUAAGCCCGUAUCACGAUCUCCAUUCUAUUGAUCAUAAAUGAUAGAAUAUCUUUUUUUAACUUUAUUUGGAUAUUUUUGUCUUUUAACACCACACUGAGUCUUUCUAACGCUGCAGCGCGCUGCUACGCCAGGGAAAUAAGGCAAAAAUAUACCAUGUUCGGAACACUUGAGCAGCGAGGUUGCAAAUAGGUUUUUUGAGUACUAUCUAGGUACCUAAUGCAUUAUAAAUACAAAAAUGCCUGUCACAGUUCGGAGGAGAAUUUUAGUUCUUAACAAAUAAGUGUCAAAAAUUUAACUGAGCAGUUUUUUCGUUCAAGUCGCCACAGGUAAAAAUACGGUAAUUAAAUAUCUUAUUUAUAGUAUCCUUCUUGUAGUAGAUGAGCAAAGGUUAAAAAUGGCACUUUUUGAAUUUUGGUCUGAUUAUUUGUUGCUUCGGAUAUUGCAAAAUAAAUCUAAAAUUUCCAAAAUAAAAAAUUUGCUACUUAUAACUUUUGCGAAAAUGGCCUUAAAACUUUUAUAUUGCAUGAAAAGUUGAGUCAAACAGUCCAUAUAAUGCACAAAAAAGUUUAAGACGAUUCGUCAAUUAGUUUAAAUUUGAUUCAAUUUGUUUAUCCCAAAAAGCUUUUUUGCAAUGUUAUUGUUCAGAAAAUAAGAAUGAUAUAGCAGUUCUCUGGAAACCACGUGAAAUAAGAAUAGUUACUUGUAAGAAUAAUAGUUAUUUGUAUGUUUUCAACCAAUUUAAAAAAAAUCAAUAAAAAGUCAUUUUUAUCAUUCUGAUAACAUUUUUCUAAAGUAGUCAUUUUUGGCUUAUGAACAAUUUGAAUAACUUUGUUAAUAUUGACUCUAGACUAAAACUACUUUGGGAUUUGAGAAGCUGGUAUUUUUACAGUCAAAAUUAGCCACUUUUUUUAUUUAAUUCACAGCUACUUUGUUCGUAACAAUUAAGCAACCUAACUAGCGCCACUUUAAAGCUGAUAUAGUUUAUGUGUAAAAGUUUGAGUAAACUUUGAACUUCAACAAAGUGAUUAAUAAACCUUUAAAAAUUACGUCAUAACGAAAUCGAUUCGUAGACGGUGGAGGGGAACUAUUAAAAUCCGUGCACUCAAAAACUGAAAUUUUUUCUUCAAACAUAUGUUUCGAUUAUUAUCUCCGGAGCUUGUUGAUGGACUUUGAUCAUAAUUUUUCAAUUUGUAUAUACUCGUAGUCUUGUAGAGUACGUUAUGUACACAUUUCCCCACGUAAUGUUACAAAAUGUUAGGGGGGAUGCCCCUUAUUACUCAGGGAUAUCAAAAAUAGAUUAUGACCAAUUCUAAGACCUACCGAAUAUUUAUAUAUAAUUUCAUAAAAAUCGGCCAAGUUGUGUCAGAGGAGUAUGGCAUCAAACACUGUGACAGGAGAAUUUUAUAGAAGUAAAUAUAAUAUAGAUGUCUAUUAAAAAAUGGGGGUUGGUGAUAGAAGAGUGAAAAUUAAGGGUUGUAUAUAAUUUUUAAUUCUACACGAUAUAAAAUUAAGGAACACAAUUUAAUCAAAAAAAAAAUAAAAAAAAAUGUCAGGGGUGCUACCUCUCCUAUAAUUAAGGGUAUGAAAAAUAGAUUAUAACCUACUCUCAGUCCUAGGAUAUACUUGUAAAAUUUCAUAAAAAUCGGUCUAGCCGUUUCGGAGGAGUAUGGUAACUAACACUGUUACAGGAGAAUUUUAUGUAUAUAGAAGUAACUGUGAAUUAAAUAAAAAAAAGUGGUUAACUUUGACCGCAUUUAACCUAGGUGAAAAGUUUUUUCUUUGAAAAUUCGUGUAAAAAUACCAGCUUUUAAAAUCCCAAAGUAGAUUGACUCUACAGUCAAUAUUAACAAAUCUAUUCAAAUUGUUUUUAAGCUAAAAAUGACUGUACUUAAGUUAAAUAUUUUCGGAAUGAUAAAAAUGACUGUUGAUUAUUUUUUUUUAAUUCUUUGAAAAGAUAAGUGUUCUUCUUUCAUGUAGUUUUCACAGAAUUGCUGUAUCGUUAUUAAUUUCUGAGCAAUAACAUUGCAAAAAAAGCUCUUGGGAUAAACAAAUUGAAUAAAAUUUAAACUAAUUGACGAAUCGUCUUAAAAUUUUUUGUGCGUGAUACGUACUGGUUGUCUCAACUUUUCGUCCAAUAUAAAAGUCAUAAGUUCAUUUUCGCAAAAGCUAUAGCAAAUUUUUUAUUUUCGAAAUUUUGGUCUUAUUUUGCAAUUAGCGAAGCAUAAGAUGAUCAGACCAAAAUUCAAAAAAUGCCAUUUUUAACCUUUGUUCAUGUACCUACUAAUGUUUACCUGUAGCGAUUUAAACAAAAAAAACUGCCAUUUUUGACACUUAUUUGUUAAUAACUAAAAUUCUCGUCCAAACUGUGACGGGAAUUUUUGUAUUUAUAAUGUAUUAGGUAUAUAGUACCCAAAAAACUCAUUUGCAACCUGGCUGCUCAAGUGUCCCGACAAAAACCUUAUUUCUCUGGACUAUGCCCAAGUAAAUCGGAUUCUUCUAGUUAUCUUUUUCCGUUUGAUUAUUAUCUGUUUGAACCCUUUCAUCAUGUAACAUAUACCGUUCGACACUUUCGAUCUUACUUCCAUCUAAAUCUGUUGUAAUGCAAAGUAGUUCCUCUGUAUGAUGCCUUACGACUGUUUUGUCAUCAGUAAAUCUCAGAUGACUUAAAAAUAUUCCAUAGUUUUUUUCCGCGGUGUUGCUUUCAAUUUAACUUUUUGAAUCAUCAUCAUCAAUGGUGCUACAGCCCUAUGAAAGAGCCUCGACCUUCCCAAGUCUAUUACGCCAGUCAGUCCUAUCCAUUGCCAACCGUUGCCAGUUUGCUGCGCCUAUUUUGCGCCCAUCCUCAUCUACACCAUCCUUCCAUAUAAGUUUUAGCCUACUCCUAUUUCUACUUCCCAUAGGUUGUGGCAUAAGGAUUCUUCUAGGAGGGUUGCUAUGCUGUGAUCUAGCUAGAUGUCCUGCCCAUCUUAGUCUUCCUAUUCUUAUAACAGAUACUACGUCUUUACCACCAAAUAUAUGUUUACAUCUGUGGUAAACCUCGUAGUUGUACCUCCUCCUCCAAAUACCAUUUUCACAGAUGCCACCGAAUAUGCCUCUCAGGAUCCUUCGUUCAAAUAUAAGCAGAAGGUUUUCAUCUGCCUUGAAGAUGGUCCAUGUCUCCGAUCCAUAUGUCAACACUGGUUGUAUAAGGGUUUUGUAUAUGUUUUUUUUUUGUUUUUUGGCUUAAGUUUCCUGCUUCUCAUAUGUCUACUCAGUUCAAAAUAGCAUUUGUUCGCUAGGAUUAUCCUUCGCUUGAUUUCUUCCGUCGUGACGUUCUCCUUGGUGAUCAGCGAGCCUAAGUAUGUAACUUUGUCCACCACUUCAAAUGUAGAGUUAUCAACAAAAAAUUGGUAACCGAUGUUUCUGGCUCUAUUGUUUGGGCGUUGAUGCCACCAUCUUAGUUUCUCCUCGUUUACUUUCAGGCCCAUAUUUUUCGAGACGUUUGAGAAGGUGGUAUACAUUUCUUCUAGUUUGCGUGUUGUGUGGGCAACUAGGUCUUUCAAUUUAACUUCUUGAGGUACAUCUUCUAAAACAAAAGUAAACAAUUUUGGAGAGAUCGUGCCUCCCUAUUAUUUCAAAAGUUGAAGAAAAAGUAAAACAUGAAAAAAAUUACCCGUUUUUAGCUCAGUCAACACCUUUUGGCGAUUGUGUCAGCACUGGCAAGCCAGUGGCGCUAACGUUAUAAGUAAUAAUGCAUUGCUAUUUCGAUACAUAUUUAAGCUACACAGCUGUCACUUCAAAGAGAAAAUUAACCCAUCCCAGAUACCUCAGGUAUCAUAAAAAUUGAGCUUUAGGGACUUUUUACUUGUUUGUUUUCAUUAUCUUUCGAACUCUAGAUGACCUGGUAAGUGAAGUUCCACCCAUACAUUAUUUAUAUAUUGCUUAUCACAGACCAUUGUCUGUAAAGAUUGUCACCAAGACUGUAACAUCGUCAUAAUAAGCUUUUGGAAAUGACACAAGUACCUAGUUGAGAGAUUGAUAGUGUUUCCUUAUUUGCGUAUAAGUUAACAAUACUAUUAGGCCUGGAUCCCGCGUUUGAAAAAAAGUUGAUUAAUAGCAAGCUGAAAAUUUGUUAACAGCUUAAGGGUGUCUAGUCAGACAAACUUGGAUAUAUGGGAACACUGGAACAGGGGAAGUUUUAAUUGUGGAAUAGGUUAAAAAUUUGGAACGGUCAGACCACGAAAACGGCUCAUGUAUUAAACUCUUCGAACAGAGAUUAAACUCUCAUGCAAAAAUCAGACUGCUAUUUAUCACCAAAUGGGCGUUUAAAUGAGUGGAACAUGUAGAAUAUGUCAAAUGACAGGAAUUAUGACAGGUGAUAAAUAGCAGUCUGAUUUUUGCAUGAGAGUUUAAUCUCUGUUAGGAGAGUUUAAGUCUGUUCUGUCGGACAAAAUAAAUGUGCCGUUUUCGUGGUGUGACCGUUCCAAACUUUUAACCUGUUCCACAAUUAAAACUGACCCUCUUCCAGUGUUCCCAUAUAUCAAAGUUUAUCCGACUAGACACCCUUAAGCUAUUAACAAAUUUUCAGGUUGCUAUUAAUCAACUUUUUUUUCAUACCCGGGAUCCAGACCUAUAUGUCAAUUUGAUCAUAUUAUUUUUUGUUAUUUAAUAUGUUGAAAAUUUUUCUGAUUUCAUGCUUGUAGAUAUAUUCUAAAACUCAUCAAACUAAUCAAUCUAAUUUUUUGUUUUAAAAAAAAUGUAAAUAUUAGAGAAUUAUAAAAUGUGUCCAAUUCAUUAUAAAAAUCCAUAUUCAUAAGAAUAUUGAGAAUCGCCUAUGCAUUUUUAAAAAGGAUUUUAAUUAUAUCUUACAAUUAAAAUUUAUUAUAUGUGAAUAAGUGUGAAUGUAUCCAACAUUAUAAUUAAAUAAAUUUAUCAUGCUGGCAUCCAUA